rnacentral:rRNA from 1 species
AUUAAUAGAACGCUGGCGGCGUGCUUUACACAUGCAAGUCGAGGGGGCGUAGCAAUACGUCAGCGGCAGACGGGUGAGUAACGCGUGGGAACAUACCUUUUGGUUCGGAACAACACAGGGAAACUUGUGCUAAUACCGGACAAGCCCUUACGGGGAAAGAUUUAUCGCCGAAAGAUUGGCCCGCGUCUGAUUAGCUAGUUGGUGAGGUAACGGCUCACCAAGGCGACGAUCAGUAGCUGGUCUGAGAGGAUGAUCAGCCACAUUGGGACUGAGACACGGCCCAAACUCCUACGGGAGGCAGCAGUGGGGAAUAUUGGACAAUGGGCGCAAGCCUGAUCCAGCCAUGCCGCGUGAGUGAUGAAGGCCCUAGGGUUGUAAAGCUCUUUUGUGCGGGAAGAUAAUGACGGUACCGCAAGAAUAAGCCCCGGCUAACUUCGUGC